rfam:Nicotiana attenuata strain TT chromosome 3, whole genome shotgun sequence.
UGGAUAGAUUAUUGUAUUCGACUGUAUUCACGGCGUGAAACAUAGGAUUUCACUGUUUUUAAACGGAAAGUGAAUCAACUAACAUAAUAGACUCCU